rnacentral:lncRNA from 1 species
GACCACUUUUUUUUUUUUUUUUUGACAGAAUCUUGCUCUGUCUUGCCCAGGCUGGAGGGCAGCAAAUGAUCUCGGCUCACUGCAGCCUCCGCCUCCUAGGUGCAAGUGAUUCUCCUACCUCAGCCUCUUGAGUAGCUGGGAUUACAGGCGCCUGCCACCACACCCGACUAAUUUUUGUAUUUUUAGUAGAGAUGGGGUUUCACCAUGUUAGCCAGGCUGGUCUUGAACUCCUGACUUCAGGUGAUCCACCCGCCUCGGCCUCCCAAUGUGCUGGGAUUACAGGCAUGAGCCACUGCGCCCAGCUGAAGGACCACUUCUAAUUCCUACCUAUGUCUCUUGCUGCUAAUUAAACAUCUAAGUUUAGAGGCUAAGGGGGAUACUACCUGGGGACCAUUCCUCCGGACUGGAGUGAGCCUGUGUUUCUGUCUUCAUCUUAGCCCCGAGCUAUGGAUCAAACCUCGUCUGCCUGCAGCUCUGUGGUUGAUCCUGAGGGACUCCUUCAUUUGCACAAAUGAAGUGUAGAUAAGAAUUGUGUGUCAACUUUUAAUGAGCCCUCAAGGGUCAUUGAAAAAUUCCAUGGCUUUUUCACUGAUGAAACUUAGAAUUGGCUUCCCAGGGAUUGUUAUGACAAUAGAGUUUGGUAGAUCAUGCCAGCAGGUGUUCCAUUGGGCUGUUUGAUGCCACUCAAGGCUCUAGCCAAGCGCAUCUCUGAUGUGUCCUCCAGAAAGGGUGUCCAGGGGCUUUGACCGAUGAGCACGGGGAGUUUUGGAGGAGGGCUGGACGUGGCGAGUUCAGAUGAAUUCUACUAAUUGCUUGGCUGUAGGAACCAAACCUUGUCUGCCUGCAGCUCAAACAAGAGAACAAGCAAGAUGAGAUCCUCUGCCCUGCUGGUGUUUUUUUUUUUUGUUCUCAUGGGGAGAAAAUGUAUUAAAAUAUGAGUUACUG